rnacentral:rRNA from 1 species
GAAUCGUUCGCAAACGACUUAGGUGCUGGGCGGAGUGUUGUACACUAGAGAGCAUCACGAAACUUUGAGAUGCGAUCUGUUGAGACUAUGCUCUUGCUCGGGGGAUUC